AGUGCUGUGGCACAGUGGGUUAGAGCACUGGCCUGCAGUGCCAGUGUCCCAUAUGGGUGCUGGUUUGCAUCCCGACUGCUCUA
rnacentral:tRNA from 1 species